AGAGUUUGAUCAUGGCUCAGGAUGAACGCUGGCGGCGUGCCUAACACAUGCAAGUCGAGCGAACCCUUCGGGGUGAGCGGCGGACGGGUGAGUAACGCGUGGGUAACCUGCCCUGUACACACGGAUAACAUACCGAAAGGUAUGCUAAUACGAGAUAAUAUAUUUUAAUCGCAUGGUUAAGAUAUCAAAGCUCCGGCGGUACAGGAUGGACCCGCGUCUGAUUAGCUAGUUGGUGAGGUAAUGGCUCACCAAGGCGACGAUCAGUAGCCGACCUGAGAGGGUGAUCGGCCACACUGGAACUGAGACACGGUCCAGACUCCUACGGGAGGCAGCAGUGGGGAAUAUUGCACAAUGGGCGAAAGCCUGAUGCAGCAACGCCGCGUGAGCGAUGAAGGCCUUCGGGUCGUAAAGCUCUGUCCUCAAGGAAGAUAAUGACGGUACUUGAGGAGGAAGCCCCGGCUAACUACGUGCCAGCAGCCGCGGUAAUACGUAGGGGGCAAGCGUUAUCCGGAUUUACUGGGUGUAAAGGGAGCGUAGGUGGCAUGUCAAGUCAGAUGUGAAAGCCCGGGGCUCAACCCCGGGAUUGCAUUUGAAACUGAUAUGCUAGAGUGCAGGAGAGGUAAGUGGAAUUCCUAGUGUAGCGGUGAAAUGCGUAGAUAUUAGGAGGAACACCAGUGGCGAAGGCGGCUUACUGGACUGUAACUGACACUGAGGCUCGAAAGCGUGGGGAGCAAACAGGAUUAGAUACCCUGGUAGUCCACGCUGUAAACGAUGGAUACUAGGUGUGGGAGGUAUCGACCCCUUCCGUGCCGCAGCAAACGCAAUAAGUAUCCCGCCUGGGGAGUACGGUCGCAAGGCUGAACUCAAGGAAUUGA
rnacentral:rRNA from 1 species